rnacentral:lncRNA from 1 species
GGUAAAAGAAAAGCAAUUUAUUAUAAACGGGGACUUGAGGAAUAACCAUAUAUGGUGAUAAGAGUGAAUAUAUUCAAAUAUUACUUUUCACCAACUGUAAAGCAAUUUAAACUAGCAUGUAAAAUUAUUAUUUAGUCACCUUAGUUAUCACUAUUUUAUUUUGUUAGUUUAACGCACUUAAGAUCUAUAUCUUAUAUACUGGGCCAUUGUUGUUGUUGUUGUUUUGUUGUAAGAUCUAUAUGUUAUAUUUUUUUAACAAUAAGCAAGGUAAGAGAACUUCUGUAACAUGAUCAACUAAAAUAAAGUCUUAACAAUAUAUGAAUUUGUUAAUAAAUAGCAUAUUGGUGCAUAUAUAUUACCAUAAACCAAAAGAAUAUAAUAUAUAGUGAUAUACCUGAAGGAGAGUCGAACACAACUAGGAUACAACAACAACAACUACCCAGUGUAGUCCCACAAAGUGGAGUCUGAGUAGGGUAAUAUGUAGACAGGCUUUACCCCUACCCGAAAGGGCAGAGAGGCUGUUUCCAAUCGACCCUCGGCUCAGUGAAGGAAAGGAAAAAUAAAAACAAAAAUAAAAAAAUUUUGUUCAUGCUUUAUGACACGAUAUGCUAUUUGAAUAACAACAACAAACAACAACAACUACCCAGUAUAGUCCCACAAAGUGGAGUCUGAGUAGGGUAAUAUGUAGACAGGCUUUACCCCUACCCGAAAGGGCAGAGAGGCUGUUUCCAAUCGACCCUCGGCUCAGGGAAGUAAAGGAAAAACAAAACAAAAACAAAAGCAAAAGAGCAUUAGUAAAUACAGCAAAAGUCGCGUAAAUAAUUAUCUAAACAUAAAAACCAUAAAUAACAAGGCAUGCAAUAAUAUCAAACAGUAACUACCAUAAAUUAUCUAAGGAUACACAAAUCAUCUAAGAAUAGCCCUGCCAAGUCUCACCCAGCCCCGGGAAAUGAGUACGAAAAAUUCUAAGAGCCCCUAUCCUACAACCCUGAUACUAGACCUCCAUACUUUCCUAUCAAGGGUCAUGCCCUCGGAAAUCUGCAUCCUAGCCAUGUCAUGCCUAAUCACCUCUCCCCAAUACCUCUUAGGCAUCCCUCUGCCUCGCCUCACGCCGACCACCGCCAGUCGCUCACAACUCCUCAC